CACGCAUUCUCGGGUGGGUGCGCUCGCAUAACGACCAUGUCUCCGCACGUGCACCACCCCACCCCGGUGCUGCUGCUCCUGGCAACUGCCCGUGGUUGCCGUGACACUGAUUCGCAGUGAGACCGGGGCGUUCGAGCCGCCGCCAUCAAGGACUUUACUGAGAAGCAGCAGGUCUACGCACGCGUCGCUCUCCACUCGCACUCACAGAUACGUUGCUACCGAAUGUGAAGCAGAACUGGACAGGGACAGGCUGUUGUACCCGUUUCGGUGCCACUUGCGCCGAUGAAGGAAAGGCUGGGCUCCUGUUCCCGAGCUACCACGCGACGAAACCAGGCAGCUUGCUGAUGUUACCCCCCCCCGGGCGUGGCCCCAGCGCAGGUGGCGGCGCUGGUCAUCGUGGUAACGCUAUUGGGUAAAAUGCGCACUGAGCGCCUUGACCUACCUUAGCCUCUCCAGCGACUCGCUGACCGACCCUAUUUCUUCCAGGUGACCUAUGCUGGCGUCGCUUGUGUAUCGCAUCCAGGGCGGCAGCUCAUGCACUGUGGAGCACCGCCGUCGCGAAAUGAUAUGGCAUUCCUGUCGAAUCUCUUCCUCGACGGCAACAGUCUGGCUGGCACGAUUUCAGGCUCGUGGGGCGCGUGGCCGAGCCUGGAAGCAGCGUUUUUCGCAGGCAGCUACCCACCAGGUGCGUCCUCAUGGCGCGGGUGAACAGCGGCAUCGGGUGCAGCGCUACCUCUGCAGCGGAGGCGGCCGGCUACGGCGCGCCAUUGUCUGUUUCGUCGGCCUCUCGCACCGAUGAGAAGCCAGCACCGCCUGGCACGGCUCCAUCGUCGCCGUCCUCGCACGACGGCAACGCCUGCGCUACUUUUAUCGAGGCGGUGUGUCCGAGCGCCGAUUCGGUGGCCAACUCGCAGCUGGUGCCCUAUAUCGAAUUUGCGUGCUGCAGCAACUACAGCUCCACGGCCACUUUGUGUGGUGGCAUGAUGCGGUUGAUGCGCAGCGGCAAGGUGUACUGAAGGGCGCCAGAGCUGGCCGCAUCCUUCACGUGCGGCGCAGGCAUCAGCGCACAGGGCGGCGGCCUGCAUCUCGGCACGUGGUGCGUCGACUGAGGCCGGAACGCAUCUGCUGAGCCUAUCUCGGCAUUGUUGGGGGCUGCUCUGACGGCCAUGGCCUCCCGUGUAGCCGCCAUCUCUCGAACACAGACGGUGCGGUUGCCCGUCUGCGCACACGCCCGCAGGCGAAAAUUGUGAGCUCCUUCGUUGCGGUUUGCACGUCUUUCUACGUGCGCGUGAAGGUGUCUGCUCCUCUCCUUCGUGUGCCCUUCCCCCCUCCCCUCCUCCAACUGCCACCAUACCACUCUCAACGUGCGCGUGAGUGUGCGUGUGUGGGUCUUUCAGUGCGCGAGGAAGCUCCUCAGAGGCGGCAGCAUCCAUGUCUUCCCAGGCCCCGCCGCAACGCCUCCGAACUCGGCAUCCGCUUCUUCUCCCGGCAGUGGGGGGGACCUCGAGGCGAUGGAUGCACUCCUCCAACACCUGCACCCCCUCCCCUCCGCAGCAUGAUGAUCGAGCCAUGCGCACUCACAACAUCCACGUGCGCAGGACUUCCGCUCUUUCCCCAGUCUUCGUUGCUCAUGAGAUGCCACCGCUAGCCGGCGUAACAUGUCUGGAGCCCCGCAAACGUGAGGCCGCGCGAGGCGCGGCCAUGCAUGAGAAUGUCCAUGCACAGCUGCUCUUCCGAGAUCAGUCCACCGGGGCCCCGCUUCUACUGAACCCCCUUCUGCACCGUCAAGGUCACGGCCGCAUACGGAAUACGCGUGUCUGGCAUACUUCCUAUCGCGUGAGAAAGGGAUCGGAGUGGAAAGUGGCAAUGGCGGGAUCGUGCGUGUCCAAAGGUUUCCUCAAGGGGCCAGUGCACACGCACUCGCUGGCGCAGGCCGCAGUGCAGGAGGUACGGAGGAAAGCGCGCAAGUUAGUCGUCAGCCUUCGCGAUAACAGAUGUGUCUGCGUCUCCCUCCCUUCUCGCUCUCGGGCACGCCAUGCUUUCUCUUCGUCAUCUCACGUUGUUGCUGUUACCGAUGGAGCUCGUGGCGUGUUCCUGUGAAAGGAUGUGUGGGUCGGUGGUACUCUGCGUACUUGCGUCAGCCGCCAGCUCCUCCCCCUCCCAACCACCACCAUCACCACGGUUGCCCCCCCCUCCGAGGGUGCGUUGCGCCCUCCAUUACACGAAGGCAUCCUAAGUGAGGGAGAGAUGCGUGCGCAUGCGGGAGUGGGAGAGAAGCACGUUGUACCAUGCGAAGCGAG
rnacentral:misc_RNA from 1 species